rnacentral:rRNA from 1 species
GUGGGGAAUAUUGGACAAUGGGCGCAAGCCUGAUCCAGCCAUGCCGCGUGAGUGAUGAAGGCCUUAGGGUUGUAAAGCUCUUUCAGUGGGGACGAUAAUGACGGUACCCACAGAAGAAGCCCCGGCUAACUUCGUGCCAGCAGCCGCGGUAAUACGAAGGGGGCUAGCGUUGUUCGGAUUUACUGGGCGUAAAGCGCACGUAGGCGGAUCGUUAAGUCGGGGGUGAAAUCCUGGAGCUCAACUCCAGAACUGCCUUCGAUACUGGCGAUCUUGAGUCCGGAAGAGGUGAGUGGAACUCCUAGUGUAGAGGUGGAAUUCGUAGAUAUUAGGAAGAACACCAGUGGCGAAGGCGGCUCACUGGUCCGGUACUGACGCUGAGGUGCGAAAGCGUGGGGAGCAAAUGGGAUUAGAAACCCCGGUAGUCC